rnacentral:rRNA from 1 species
UCUGAAUCUGCGUACGGCUCCGCACACCAGUUGUAAACCAAAGCAAGCAAGCCUGACCCCGAGGCCUUCACAGGUCAAAGGGCCAGGUUACAAGGAUAACCCUGGUAAUUCUGAGGCUAAUACGUGACACGAACCUGUCGACUGGGGGCUUGCCCCUGGGAAGCGGGGGAUGUGCGACUAUCGGGCCAAAAACAACCGGAAAGAGCGCACGUUCAGACCACUCCAAAAAAGGUAUGCAGGAUCCCUCACGGGGUUUUGCGGAUCUUGUGGCUCUUGCACUGUGCUUCUGACCUAUCAACUAGACGGCAGCUUAAGGGACAUGCU